rnacentral:lncRNA from 1 species
ACAUGCGAAGAAAAUGCCCAUGCAUUUCUUUAAGCAGAAAUAUAAGUUAGUGAAUUUGUUUCUUCUUGAUAAAAUGGUUAGAAUUUGCUUAGAAAUUCCUUUUAUCAUAAAAGUAAAAAUUAUCAGCUUUAACCUUCUCAUUUGUCUCCUACUGCUUCUUUUCUUGUUCUUUAUUCUCAUCCAUCCCCUUCUCUGUCUUUGCCUCUACUCUUCCUCUAUUCCUUCAUAAGAAUCUAAACAACUCCUUUAAACAUCAAUUCAAAUGUUCUUCCCUUGGAUAGAGAUCACUUCCAUCCCCUUCAUAACUAGCUGGGCCUAGUACCUUUGGGUUAGCAAUUUUGCCAGAGAUGUUGGAGAAAAAGGGGGUAGCAUUUCCUCUUGAAAAUCCAGCCUGCAAGGCAUUUACAAUCUCAUGCUGGUUUCGUAAGGCCCUGCUGUCCCUCCAGAAUAGAGGCCCACAGCACUCACUAGGUACCAGGCAUGGUGAACUUGCUUGCCCAAGCUCUCUAGUAGGUGGCAGAUUUACCCAGGUCUGCCUGACUUUAGAGCCUAUUCUUUUAAUCAUUGUACCUUACUGUCUUUAUAGACAAGGUCAGGCUCUCUAUGCUUCUGUGAGAUAAUUUUCCCUAGGAGUGUAAAUAGUUACUAUAGAGACACUAGAUGCCACCUGCUAUAGCCCUCAGAAGUGGCAUCAGACUAUGCCUGGGCUUUCUGUUUUAAGGACAAGGAAGAAUGAGUGUGACAGUGAAAGGUUGUAUUUGUAAAGGCUGGAAGAGCAGAAAUCCCCAAGUGCUAGAGAAAAGAAUGUGGACAAGUGUAUGGUAUCCAAUCAUAGUAUGUUAGAGCUGAGUUGGGCUUUAAAGAUGAUCUCCUCUAACCCCUUUAUUUGCAGUUGAAGACGUUGAGGAUCUGAGACAUUAAGUGAAUUGUCUGAGGACACACAGCCAGUUUCUUAGAUGCAGAGCCAAGGAUGAAUUUUUUUCAUUCAGACUAAGCUGUUUUUUGCAGUCCACCUUUACUCUACUUGGGGUUCAUUUCUUUUUAAGAAGUCUCAAAGAUUAGAAAAUUGAGUCAUUUUGAGCAAUAUAAUGUCAUAUUGUACAAUUCUGCUGAAAGUAAUUUUAAUAGCAAUGCCGGCAGAUCUCCCAAAUCCAUGGGUUUCAAAAUAUUUCCGCCUUUUGCUAAGCUAAUAUAUAGAAUUUCAAAACCAUAUUUAUACCACAUACAAUUUCCAAAGAGCUGGGCAAUUUCCUAUAAAAACUCAGCUGUGCACUGAUUGCCAAGUUGGAAAACUCAGGGUUUCCUGGCAACACCCACUUGGGCUCUAGGGAAUGCAAGCUUCUCAGCAAACAACCUCUCCUGACUUACGAGCUCCAUCGGCAGCCACGACCCGAGUCACAGCGGCCCUUUCUGAUGUUCUUGUCUCUGUCGCUUAUGUUUCUCAAGAACCUGUAAUCUUGCCUUAAUCCCUCACCAGCUGAAUACCUCCUACAUGCUAAACUCCUGGAAUGAAAGGUCCACAUUUCUCUCAUGCUAGGAGUUUGGGACCAGAAUUCAGAUGAACUCAUUGCUAGUACUGGUUCAAAAGCUAAUGAGCCCUCUAGAUUCCCAGGUCCUUAGUUUCCUCAUGGGUAAAAUAUAGACAAUAACUCCUACCUGUUCAUCUUUCAGGGCUUUUCCGAAGAUUUUCAACAUCUGAAAUUCACAGGAUCAUGGAGACGAACUAAACCAUCAUGGAGACUAACUAAACCAGAUGCAUCUAGCCCCUCAUGUUAGAGUUGAGAAAACAGAAACCCAGGGUUUGGGGACUCCCUUGAAGUCAUCAAGUUCCUGUUGAUGGCAAAAUCAGGACCAAGCUUCUGAUCCUCCCAAAUAUUCCUUCACUUCUCAGUGCUGCCUGUGAUGAGAAAGAUCAAAGCAUGCAUACAAUUAUAAAUCAUGACACAG